rnacentral:rRNA from 1 species
UAGGGAAUCUUCGGCAAUGGGGGCAACCCUGACCGAGCAACGCCGCGUGAGUGAAGAAGGUUUUCGGAUCGUAACGCUCUGUUGUAAGAGAAGAACGUGUGUGAGAGUGGAAAGUUCACACAGUGACGGUAACUUACCAGAAAGGGACGGCUAACUACGUGCCAGCAGCCGCGGUAAUACGUAGGUCCCGAGCGUUGUCCGGAUUUAUUGGGCGUAAAGCGAGCGCAGGCGGUUUAAUAAGUCUGAAGUUAAAGGCAGUGGCUUAACCAUUGUUCGCUUUGGAAACUGUUAGACUUGAGUGCAGAAGGGGAGAGUGGAAUUCCAUGUGUAGCGGUGAAAUGCGUAGAUAUAUGGAGGAACACCGGUGGCGAAAGCGGCUCUCUGGUCUGUAACUGACGCUGAGGCUCGAAAGCGUGGGGAGCAAACAGG